GCCGGCCGUUGGGAAUCUGUCCUGUUGGGGAACUUUUCCCUGGAAGUGACAAAGACCUGUCCAAAUGUCAUUCGGGUCCUCACUUUUUAGUGCGGAUUCUACUGCGCACUCAGGUGCUUGCUUCAGGAUUUUGCUAGAGAUGCAAGAGAGCGACACUGCGGCGGCCCAGGGCAGGUUCAUUUGCUUACUGAUAAAGGGUGGUAGCAUUAUAGCUCCUUACAUUUAAGUAAGUGACGGAUUUUGUUUAGACACGUAUUUGUCAGUGUGGUCUGGGGACCAGCGUCCAGCGUGUCAGCGUCAUUUUGGAGCUAGUCUGAAAUGGUCCACGCCAGGCUAUUGGAUGGAGCCCAGGACAAGGUGAACAAACACCCUCCCUCCCAGGACACGCCCUUCGGAGUUCUGUGGUUAUAUCUGGCAUGCACAUUGCCAACCUCUUAUUUAUAGUCUCUCUGUAUGUAUUUUAUCAUAGAAACUAAAGUCUCUAACUGUAACCUGAAAACUUAUUGUCUUUCCCCGAGUGCUGGAUUCUCUCAUGGAUGUCACACAUUAUCAGUUCUGAGUUGUCCUGUGUACCGCACUCAUUAAAUAUUCAUGAGAAUAAGUGCUCAGCCCCGUCCUUUUGUCAACGUCCAGGCUGUGUCUACCUCCUCAGAGUUCCCCAGAAAGGUCCAAGGUGAUUUAUAAAUAAACCCUGGAGUAAACGU
rnacentral:lncRNA from 1 species